AACGAACGCUGGCGGCAUGCCUAACACAUGCAAGUCGAACGAGACCUUCGGGUCUAGUGGCGCACGGGUGCGUAACGCGUGGGAACCUGCCCUUAGGUUCGGACUAACUCCCCGACAGGGGUGCUAAUACCGGAUAAUGUCUUCGGACCAAAGAUUUAUCGCCUUUGGAUGGGCCCGCGUUGGAUUCGCUAGUUGGUAGGGUAAAAGCCUACCAAGGCGACGAUCCAUAGCUGGUCUGAGAGGAUGAUCAGCCACACUGAGACUGAGACACGGCCCAGACUCCUACGGAAGGGAGCAGUGGGGAAUAGUGGACAAUGGGCUAAAGCCUGAUGCAGCAAUGCCGCGUGAGUGAUGAAGGCCUUAGGGUUGUAAUGCGCUUGUACCCGGGAUGAUAAUGACAGUACCGGGAGAAUAAGCCCCGGCUAACUCCGUG
rnacentral:rRNA from 1 species